CUAUUGUGGAAGCUGAAACCAAAGAGAGUUGGGACUGGUUUAUUGAACUACUGCUUUCAUAUUUGAAUUGCAUUCAAUGCAAAAGAUGGUCUUUCAUAUCAGACCAGCAGAAGGGUCUGGUGAAUACAAUAGCUUCUAUUGGUGAUAAUGUUGAGCACAGAUUGUGUGUGAGACAUUUGUAUGGGAAUUUUAGGAAAAGAAAUCCGGGUGAGCACUUAAAAGAAGCUUUGUGGGCUGCAG
rnacentral:lncRNA from 1 species